rnacentral:rRNA from 1 species
GCUGAGUCGGGGCCGGCGGGGCGGGGAGACCGGGGGGGGCAAGGGUGUUGCGGAAGUACUGGGCGUAAAGGGUGCGUAGGCGGCCAACUAAGUCAGACGUGAAAGCCCUCGGCUUAACCGGGGAACUGCGUCUGAUACUGGAUGGCUUGAGUUCGGGAGAGGGAUGUGGAAUUCCAGGUGUAGCGGUGAAAUGCGUAGAUAUCUGGAGGAACACCGGUGGCGAAGGCGGCAUCCUGGACCGACACUGACGCUGAUGAGCGAAAGCCAGGGGAGCAAACGGGAUUAGAUACCCUCGUAGUC